GUGCUUGCUUCAAAAGUGUGUAUGCUAAGAUUGGAAAGAUACAGAGAAGAUUAGCAUGGCUCUGCACUAGAAUGACACACAAAUUCAUGAAGCAUUCCAUAUUUAA